UACGUAGGUGGCAAGCGUUGUCCGGAAUUAUUGGGCGUAAAGGGCGCGUAGGCGGAAUGUCAAGUUAGGGGUGAAAGGCCUGGGCUCAACCUGGGAACGGCCUCUAAAACUGACAAUCUAGAGUCCGGAAGAGGAUGGCGGUAUUCCCAGUGUAGAGGUGAAAUUCGUAGAUAUUGGGAAGAACACCGGUGGCGAAGGCGGCCAUCUGGUCCGGCACUGACGCUGAGGCGCGAAAGCGUGGGGAGCAAACAGG
rnacentral:misc_RNA from 1 species